GUCCAGGGAUGGGAAUCGAACCCAUAAUGUUCCACUUACUGGCCUGAUGCCAUGUCCACUAGGCUACCCUGGA